GGAAGUAAAAGUCGUAACAAGGUCUCCGUAGGUGAACCUGCGGAGGGAUCAUUACAAGUGACCCCGGUUUACCACCGGGAUGUUCAUAACCCUUUGUUGUCCGACUCUGUUGCCUCCGGGGCGACCCUGCCUUCGGGCGGGGGCUCCGGGUGGACACUUCAAACUCUUGCGUAACUUUGCAGUCUGAGUAAACUUAAUUAAUAAAUUAAAACUUUUAACAACGGAUCUCUUGGUUCUGGCAUCGAUGAAGAACGCAGCGAAAUGCGAUAAGUAAUGUGAAUUGCAGAAUUCAGUGAAUCAUCGAAUCUUUGAACGCACAUUGCGCCCCCUGGUAUUCCGGGGGGCAUGCCUGUUCGAGCGUCAUUUCACCACUCAAGCCUCGCUUGGUAUUGGGCAACGCGGUCCGCCGCGUGCCUCAAAUCGACCGGCUGGGUCUUCUGUCCCCUAAGCGUUGUGGAAACUAUUCGCUAAAGGGUGCUCGGGAGGCUACGCCGUAAAACAACCCCAUUUCUAAGGUUGACCUCGGAUCAGGUAGGGAUACCCGCUGAACUUAAGCAUAUCAAUAAGCGGAGGA
rnacentral:rRNA from 1 species